AGGAUGGAGCAAGAUGUUGAAAAGUUCAUCAGGGAUCCUGGUCGACAACAGAUGGAAUUCCAACACCUGCCUACCUCCUAUUUGCGACUGGCUGCUCACCGCGUGGCACAGCACUAUUCACUACAAUCAAUGGUUUUGUUGGACAAUAGUUUACCAGAUGGCUCGGGUUCCAGGAUUAUUGUGCGCAAGACUUCUGAAUGUCGGAUGCCUUUGAUUCGCUUGGCUGACAUUCCAGUGAAUUUGCCUCAAGGAGAUACUGGGGUGGUUAAGGUUGCGAUAAAGCAGAGGCCACAGAAAGGUUCACAGUUAGCAAGUGGUUUGAAUUCAAAUUCAUCAAAGGGAAAUUCUGCUAAAAGUGUUGAGGAAAGGAAGGAGGAAUAUAAUAGGGCUCGAGCACGUAUUUUCAACUCUAAUAAUAAUUUAAGUGGGAGCUCAAACGUAAAACCUGAAACUGAAUCAAGGUCACAGGAUGCUUUCCAGUAUGGUUCAAUAGGCAUACCGCAGUUGGAAGAAAAAGCCAGUCCAGCUGGCAGCUCUGAUUUGAAUUCUGGGCGCGGUUUGAUUGAUUCUUCAACAAGUAGCAGUAGGUCAGCUAGAAGUAGGACAGAAAAGGAACCAGUUGGUAGGUCUAAAUCUUAUAAUAAGGUGGCCAUCUUUCGUGAUCGGGAAAUUGACAGGAAGGACCCUGAUUAUGACAGGAAUUAUGAUAGGUCUUUCUUUGUCCUCUGCUAUUUUANCGAAAACACUAUGUUCUCUAUUAUAAAUCUCAAUUAUGUAAUAUUUACUCUUUAGCUGUUAUGCUGAGGUAGGCUUUUGGUAAUUGAAUACAAGUUAUAUGAUGACUUAUAAAAAUAUUCACUCUAUAAUGCUUCAUUUUCCUUUAGCUGCUUUUCUUAGAUCUGAUGCAUUAUUUUUCAACAAAGUUGCUUCAUCGUAUAUGUUUCCAUUGUGAGAUAGCUAGAUUCUCCUUAAAUAUGGCAUUGUAUGCAUUUUAUUUGUUUCCCCUCUCUUUUUGUCUUUUCUUUUUGUGGGUGUGUGGGUGUGUGGGCUGUGGUGGGGGGUCAGUCUUUGUUAGCCCUGAUUGAUUAUGUUUAUUAUGCACAUUUUGACUUAUUAUUGCUUUUUCUCAGUUCUGAGGAUGGAGCAAGAUGUUGAAAAGUUCAUCAGGGAUCCUGGUCGACAACAGAUGGAAUUCCAACACCUGCCUACCUCCUAUUUGCGACUGGCUGCUCACCGCGUGGCACAGCACUAUUCACUACAAUCAAUGGUUUUGUUGGACAAUAGUUUACCAGAUGGCUCGGGUUCCAGGAUUAUUGUGCGCAAGACUUCUGAAUGUCGGAUGCCUUUGAUUCGC
rnacentral:lncRNA from 1 species